rnacentral:lncRNA from 1 species
GGAAGCCUCUCCUGCCUUACCCUAGCCCCUGCCCAGAAAGGUCCCUCCCUCUUUCACAUCCCUAGACUCUAGAUGUGACCAAACCAGAAUAGACUAUGGAAAAGGCUGUCAUCUUCCACAUUCUGAUCACUAUAUUCUUGUUAACUCUAAGAUUGCACUUCUAGUCGCCUAACUCAUGCCCUCUCCAUCCUUGGUCUGUCUCUACCCUUCUACCCCUCACCGCGUACACACAUGGGCUCUGUCAGGCCAGCACUCACCCAUCCUAUCCUUCUACAGUCGAUUUCUUAGGACUGGGAGCAGAACUUUAUACUUAAUCGGAAUAUGUUUUGUCUGGUUUCUUUUAGCAACUCCUCCCACUGAGUAUCAUCUUUUUUAGGUCCUUAUUCAUUAUUCAGCAUACUAGCUAUUUUCCCAAGCCUUGUUCUGAUUCAUUCAUUCUUUCUUUCAAUCAUUCAUGUAUUCAUCACACAUUCCCUGAGCACCUGUUCUGAGCCAAACACUGUGCUGAGGGCACAGAAAUGAAUGACCCGUCUCUGCCCUUGAGAAUCUAUGAUGUAACCCAAAGGAGGAAACACGCAGGCAAACAGUUGAUGAUAACUCAAUGGGCUGAGUGUGACGGCAGAGGAGAAUGGUGGUGCUGAGCUCACAGAGGGGCACCUACACCAGGCUAGAGGGCAGAGAAGGCUUCCGGAGGAGGUGACAAUGGCGUUGAGAUCAGAGAGGAUGACCAGAUACUGUACAUCAUUGUGUGUGAUACACGACCCUUCUGUGUCUUCCUCCAAGUUGUAAAGAUUCAUGGGGACAGGACCAAGGCUGAGCCAUUCCCAUGGGAGAGAGAAAGUCACCCGGAUGAAUACCAGGUGUGGUCUAAAAGGUUGCUGCAAGCGCGCAGAGGGCCUUCACGCAGACUCCAGAGGCACCAUGACCAACACAGCAUGCCUCUGCCUUCUGAACUCAUGACAGAAGGAGGGGGAGCAAGAGGAGAAAAUAACUAAUACUGAUUGAGCAUCUACUCUGCGCCAUUCUGCCUGGUGUUUUAAAUUGCGCUAUCUCAUCUAAUCCUCCAACAAUCCUGUAAGGUAGGUGUUUAUAUACCCAUUGUACAGAUGAGAAAAACUGAGUCUCAGGGAGUUCAAAUGACUUGCCUAAGGUUGCACAGCUGCUUGGUGAAGGAGCUGGGAUUUAAACUCAGUUCUCCCUGAUGCCAAAGCCUUCCUUUGUGAGAGUAUAUAUUGGAAGAAAUGCUAUUUUUUAAAAAGGUUUAUUAAGGCCUAAGAGGGGGUCAGGAAGGUGGAAUGAGCAACUCUGCCCAAGGGCAAACAGAUAAUUCUCUUAAACAGUUGAUAAUCUUUGAGUUCUGUUGAUUACCCAUUUGCUCAAUUAUCCAAUGAGGAAAAACAAUGUUUACUGAGUACCUACUGUGUGCUAGGCAUCUUACUGGAAACCAGGGAGAUGGUGAUGGAUAGGGCAGCGUGAUACCUGCCUUCGUGGAGACUAGAGCUGGGGGGAUAAGGGAGGUCUAGCAUUAAACUGUAAACUCUCAACUGGGAUCAGGUGCUGGGAGGAAAGAGGAAUGGCAGGUGUUCAGGAACACAAGGAGCACCCUCAGUGAGGCUGUGGUGUGUGGGGAAGGCCCGGUGAGGAAGUCACAUUUGAGCCGCCCCAGAGGGCCGGAGAGCAGAGGGCUGAGUGGAGAGAGGAUGGAAGAGACGCUGGCAGGAGGAAGCACUCAUCUGAAGGUUCAAGGCAGGGAGCAGGUGGGAGCAGGCAUGCCGUGGAAAGGAGAGAUGGGGAGCAAGGCGAGACUGGGAGGGGCACAGGCCAUCAGGCCAAGUGAAGGGCUGGGAGCUUGGGCUGGAGCAGCGCUUCUCAAAGCAGCUGUGGGAAGCACAAGGGCCGUUUCUGUUUCUCUGC